rnacentral:lncRNA from 1 species
GUCAUAGAAUCUGGCCAAACAAGGAUGGUGUAGGAGAAAUCUAUCCAAAUGAGGCUAUGUUGUCCGGCCAAACAAGGAUAGAACAAAGAAUCUCAUCCAAAAAGGGUCUUGAUGUUUGACCAAAUGAGGAUGAAAUACAUCCAAACAAGACCAUGAAAUCUGACCAAAUGAGGAUGAGAAAAGAUUAGGCUUGUCCAAACA